rnacentral:lncRNA from 1 species
AGCAGGGUUAAGUAGGAGCCCGGAGUCUUAGGCUUGUAUACUGCUUGGCUAUUCUUACUACCAAGCCAAGGAGAAAAAUUCAGUUCAUCUUGAAUCUUCCAUUUGACUCCAUUUUGCAUUUAGACAUAUUCACAGUGUUUUUCAAACCCUUAUGUAAGACAAUUCUAGAUCAAUGAAUAUACCUCCUAUGUCUUGAGAUACAGCAAAAGCCUUUAAAAAUCUUUUGGAAUGUCACUUUAAAUUCUGCUCUUGCUCCUAGAUGAAGCUUUCUCAUGUAUUUCUAAGAAUUAGGCCAUCAAUGUUCUGCAAAAUAAAAUAAGAAACUGCCUUCCCAGGUCUCAUCUGUUAUGGAUGAGGUCUUGCACCACUUCACAGUUGCACUAUGUAUCUUAUGAUUUUCAUUCCCAGAACUCUAAAAAUACCACAUAUGUAGAUUUAUCAGAAAAUCCAUGCCAUAAUUUAUUUUUAUGGGGUCUUUACAGCAAGUUUUUAUUUUUUCUUUUAAGUUUUUAUUUUUUCUAAAGGAGUUUAAAUUGUGUAAGGAAGAACCAUAUUUUAUACAGGCUACAUAUACAAUUUAGUUCUUAAAACCCACCCAAUAUCUUCAUAUUGAUUGACAGAAUAGUUAUGCAGACUUUAAUUUUCAAUGUGAUUUGAAUUUCAGCCUUGACAUAGGCUGAAAGCUUGCCUUUUAUGUGUCAAAAAUCUACAAAGAAAUCAUACUGAACUCUUAUAGGAAAUCAAAUGAACACCCCCAAUACUUCCUACCCCUGUGCCAAGUAGCUUUAGUUUCUAUUACUUUUGUUUUGUUUCUCCAUAAAUUCUGUAGGUUCUGAUUCACUGAACCUUAUAUUUACUUAUUUGUUUAUUCAUUUGUUCUCCAUCAUUUACUGAAUGCUGGUAGUAUAUCAUUUAUCGGGGCAGGGAUACAGUUGACUGAGACAAUCCCUGAUUGCCAAGUUCCAGCUCAGGGGUCAGUUCCAAAGAUUCUAGAAAGAUGGUGCAGGUCUCCCCACUGUAAGAGUGCCUACAAUAAUAUAAGAGUAGCUGGCUUUUGUUGAGUAGAUGGCCUGCAGUUGUUCAUGAAUGAAUGAGUGACUAAAUUAAACCUAGUUGAUGAGUUAAAGAACUCCCAGUCUAGCACAAGUAACCCAAGGUCUUGCCAGGGAAUAAGAAUAUCUUUUCUGUGAAAUUUAAUUCUAUUGCCUUUUGAAAAGUUUCAGAAAUUAUUAUUCUCUUAAGGGCACAUUUAUUUUUUUUUUAAAUUUGUUCUAAUUUAUUAUACAUGAAAAUAGAAUGCAUGUUGACACAUCAUACAUAAAUGGAGUACAACUUCUCACUCUCCUAGUUGUACACGAUGUAGAAUCACACUGGUCAUGUUAUCACAUAUGCACAUAGGGCAACAUUGGAUUCAUUCUACUAUCCCCAUAUCCCCUCCCCUCUCUUCACUCCCCUCUGCCUAAUCCAAAGUAACUCUCUUCUUCCCUAGCCAUGGCCCUUAUUGUGAAUUAGCAUAUGCAUAUCAGAGAAAACAUUCAGCCUUUGGUAUUUUGGGGAUUGGCUUAUUUCACUUAGCAUGAAAACUCUCCAGUGUCACCCAUUUACUUGCAAAUGCCAUAAUUUCAUUCCUUUAAGACUGAGUAAUAUUCCAUUGUGUAUAUAGACCACAGUUUAUUCAUCUGUUGAAGGGCAUCUAGUUGGGUUCCAUAGUUUAGCUAUUGUAAAUUGAGCUGCUAUAAACAUUGAUGUGGCUGCAUCACUGCAGUAGGCUGAUUUUAAGUCCUUUUGGUUUAAACUGAGGAGUGGGAUAGCUGGGUCAGAUGGUGGUUCCAUUCCAAGUUUUCUGAGGAAUCGCUAUACUGCUUUCCAUAGUGGUUGCACCAAUUUGCAGUCUCACCAGCAAUAUAUGAGUGUACCUUUUCCCCACAUCUUCACCAACAUUUAUUAUUGCUUGUAUUUUUUAUAAUUGUGAAGGGCAUAUUUCUUUCUUGGCAUGUCACUUAAUACAAUUAUUUUUAAUUCCGAAGUUAUCCCUUGCGAUUUUGGCCCUUCUGAGUGUACUACUAUCCAUACAGCUUCCAGAAACCACUGGGAAGCCAUUGGCAACUACUUGGGAGGAAUUUGCACAACUGGAGGCAAAAGAGAAAUCAUAUCACAAAACUAAAGGAAAAGAGCUGGAAAAAAAGGAAGCAAUUGACCUUGAGGGUUCUGCUGCUGCUGCUGAAUAAGUGUGCCCUCUGUGCUAUGUAUGUGAAUUUUUAUGUGAAUGCCUUUGUAUUAUAGGACGAUUAUUCUUGUCUCCUGCAUGCUAUUUAUGUGUCUUUCUAAAAAUUUUGUAAGAAAGAUUUAAACAAUUGUUUUGUAAAAGUAAAUGGAAUAAAAACCAAGAUGAGAAUUCUCAUUUUAAAAAACU